rnacentral:tRNA from 1 species
GGGCCUGUCGCACAGUGGUAGUGCAUCGCAUUCGCAUUGCGGAAACGCGAGUUCGAUUCUCGCCAGGUCCACCA